ACUCCGCGGUACGUUGGCGCAUUAAUACGAUCAUCGACCAAUAGCAUCGAUCGACAAAUCCUCUUCUGGCUUGUCUAAUGGAUUGGGAGAGAGAAGGGGGCUAACAGUUAACGACGAAGUAUCUCGUGAAGACCUUAAGAUCACUUUGAUCCUUUUUACGGUAAACGUCUAUGGCUGCUGUUAAUUUAUUACGUAUUAAUACGAUUGUGUAACGUUAAAUAAAAGAAGGAAAAGUGUUUAUUAUAAUUUAACGUCUUUAUUAUAAUUAAUUAUUUAAUUGUCGUGUAAUUGGUGUAAGUUAUACGAGAAGAAAGAAGAAUUUCUGAUUUCUCCGUCCAUUAAGUCCAUCGUUAUAUCAAAUAGAAAAUACGAAUUCAUUCUUUAUUAUAUUCUCUUUCCGCGCUGCGACCUCUCUCUCUCUCUCUCUAUCUCUAUCUUUCUCUUUCCACGUGUCGCAAUUAAAAAGAAAAGAAAGGAGAGAAAAAAAAGGAAGCAAUGAGAAAAGAACGAAGAAAAAAGAAAAUUAAAGAAAACAAAAAGAAAUAAAUCAGAGAGAUAUGGAAAAAAGUGGAAAGAAGAAUUACAUAGAUCGAUAAUCGAUGCGAUCUGCUUAACGUUUCAUAAUAGCCGAAAAGAAAUCAAGUAGGAGAAGAAGAAGAAGAAAGAGGAGGAGGAGGAGGAGGAGGAGGAAAAGAAGGAGGAGGAGGAGGACGAUAACAUGGAAAAGGAUGGCUAAUCGCGAACAAAGAGGUAUAUAGAUUGUUGACUCUGAAGACUAAGAAGAGAGAGAGAGAGAGGAGAACGUAGUAGCAUCCUUCAAAGUUUUCCCACGAUAACAAGAUUCCUUGCAUUUCGAAAAGCAACAUGAAAUCCCCAACGAUACUUUCGAAAGACAAUUCAUCACCCUAACGUCAUUUACGUUCAUCAAGGCCUUCGACCGAAGAGAGAGAAAGAGAGAGAGAGAGAGAGAGAGAGAGAGAGAGAGAGAGAGAGAGAGAGAGAGAGAGAGAGAGAAACCGCAUCGUGAGAAACGAGACCUAGUUCGAAACGCCAGCGGACGUGAGCUCAUUCUUCUUUCCCUGUUAAACUGGUAGGGUGCUGAAACAAGGCUUAGCUUGGACAUUAACGAUAAGUCAACACUCUCACGUUAAUGCUUUGGUUCUCGCCUAUAACAACUUGUACUUCAUUGGAAAUGCUAGGAAGUAUUAGAACGUGCCAACUAGAAGAAAAAUAUUUCUCUUUUUAUGAGAAUCGAUUCUACAAACUACAAAUUGUUGUGUACUUUGUCUAUUUUUUUUUAUUACUUAUCUCUCUCUCUUUCUCUCUCUCUCUCUCUUUCCCUCUAUCUAUCUAUCUAUCUAUCCAUUCAUUCGUGGUAAUAUACGUGGAAGAAAAGAAAAGAAAAGAAAAGAAAAAAAAAAAAAAGAAAAAACAAGAAGUUAAAAGAAGAAGAAAAUCUUGAAUAAUCAUUCUCGCUAAGUAAAAUACAUAGAUGAAUUUUUAUUAAGUUUAAAUAUUUAACAAUAGAAGUUUUCGUUAGAAGAUUUAAAUGUAACCAGCGAGAAAGACAAAUGGAAGUAAAUUUGUUUGUUUCGUUUUGUUUUGUUCCCAUCUUACCUAGUCUUAUUUAAAUAAGAAGAUACUAUGUAUAACCGUUGUAAAUGUAGAUAUGAGCUUACUUAUGUAUGUAUAUAUAUAUAUAUAUAUAUAUAUAUAUAUAUAUACGUAAUGGGGAAGCUACGGGCUUUAUAGAAAGCUCGGUGAAGUUCGUUAGGGGGCCCUUUGUCUCUUUGUCUCGUUGAAAGCUUAGAACUGUAAACAUUUAGGCGCACGUUACAUCGUCGGUGGACCUUGGCGAAACUUGGCAAGUGAAACAUCGUCGUAUUAAGAGUCAAGAACCAAAAACCACCACUUUCUAUUCUAUCUCGUCGUCGUUCUAUACCUUUUUAUUUUUUUCCUCUCUCUCUCUCUCUCUCUCUCUCUCUCUCUCUCUCUCUCUCUCUUUCUCUCUCUUCUCGGCUUUUCGUCCUUUUAAUAUGAAACGAGAAAAACCAUCUUUCACGCUUUUUCGCUUACUACUUAUUCCCUUUAUGAGGAUUUUAUGUACAUUGAAAACAAAAUGAGAGAAAAUUAAAUGUACAGCUAGCAUGUGUUUUAGAUAUUAACGAGGGAGAGAGAGAGAGAGAGAGAGAGAGAGAGAGAAAGGAAUAUAUUGUAUAAUAAGUUAAAUUUCAUAAUAAGUAUGAUAAUGAUGAAAAUUAAUGAUCAACGAAAAUUAUUAUAAUUUUUCUUAGGCGAUAUAUUAAUUAAUUAUAUACUUGGGACGUCUUUCCUUCUUUCUUUCUUUCUUUCUUUCUUUUUUUCUUUCUUUUUCUUUUUUUUUUUUUGCUCUUUGUAUUUAACGUUUGUUAAUCUUUAUCCCGAGCUAAGCUUUUAUUUUUCUUUUUCUAUUUCUUUUUCCUUUUCUUUUUUCUUUAUCCUUUUUUCUUACUUUUAUUUGCCCGACUUUGUAACUCGUUAGGGAAAGUUUAUCUUUUCUUUUUUUGUUAGACGCACAUUUGUGCAACUUAAUAUACAUAUAUAUUCGGUACUGUUGAAAUGAGUGGAAAGUUUUUUUUUCUUUUUUUUUUUUUUUUCCUUUUUUUUCCUCGAGUGUCGACGACUAGAAACAUAGUUUCUCGGAUGAAAGAAUCUUUUCAUUCGUAAACGAGUGAAGUUUUGUAAACAAAAAAGAAUUUGCAAAUUUUUUCAUUUGCAUCGUGAGAAAUGUUGGAAGAAAUGCUCUCGAUCGAUUCAAAGAAAAAGAGAGGGAGAGAGACAGAUACACACACACACACACAAAGAGAAAGAGAGAGAGAGAGAGAGAGAGAGAGAGAGAGAGAGAGAGAGAGAGAUAGAGAGAGAAAUUACGAGUUCUUGUACGUCGUAUGUUCACCCUUAGAAAUCCAAAUUUAUUUCUAAGCUGAUGUCCGGCCAACUUGAAAUUUAUUGGACGGUAUAUGUAAACCAGCAUACGCUCGCUUUGUUAAUAUAGGGCUUACGAAUGAUCGUUCCGAAUCAUUUAUGUCCUAUGUACACGUACAUAUAUACAAGGUGAGUCUAAUAAAUGGGAGGCUCAGACUAUAACUCUGUUUUUAUUGAGAAUAGAAAAAAAAAAGGGAAUAUUGGCAUCGGUUAACAAGUUCGUACAUCGUGUAGUUAGAUUUUUUUUAAUUUUUUCUUUUUUCUUUUUUCUUUUUUUUCUUUUUUCAUUGUUCUUUUUCACAGAAGCGUGCCAUCCAUCGGUGCAGAUGCAAAGUACAGUUGCAUUUAUUGUUUAAAGUGGAACCCUACGAUAUUUCUUUUUCUCCCUUUUUUUUUCUUUUCCACCUUUUUUUUUUUUUAAUGAAUUGAUUACUCGCGCCAUCCUGAAUAUAAAAAAAAAAAGUAUUCCGUAUAAAAAACAAAUUUUGCAGUAAACGAUGAUAGAGCUUUUUAAACGAUUCAAAACGAAAUUUCUUUUACAAUUUUUUUUUUUUCUAUCUUCAAUAAAACCAAAGCUAUAACUUUUCUAUCUUCAAUAGAAACAAAGCUUUUCCUAGAUUUAUUCCGUAUAUGUGUGUGGUAUGUGUGUGUGGUGUGUGUGUAUGUAUAUAUAUAUACAUAUACAUAUAUAUAUAGAGAGAGAGAGAAAGAGAAAGAGAAAGAGAGAGAGAGAGAGAGGGAGAGAGAUAAAGAGAAUGAAAUUAUAUUUACAAGAUGAAAAUAUAACAAUAACGUAGAUAAUAGAAUGUCAGAGUUAUUGUUUGAAUUAUUUUCGAUGUUAUUUUCUAAGAUUUAAAAAAAAUAAAGAAAAAAAGAAAAAAAAAAAGAAAAGGAAAAUGUAGAUAUCCGGAUAAAGUGAAAAUGAAGUGUGAGAUUUAUUUGGUUGGUUCGGUGCACAAAUGUAUCGAAUGAAUAAAAGCAUUGACCCAUAUAAAUCUUUAUAAAAGCGUGCCGUAUUACUUGUGGAUAUAUAAUCAAUGGACUCUGCGUUUCGACGCGUUCGUAUAUCGUUUAGACAACAUACAAUUUUUAAAGAGUUUGGAUCCUUUCAAAAAAAAAAAAAUAAAAAAAAAAAAAAGAAAAGAAAAGGAAAAGAAAAUACCAAAGAUAAAAAACUUCGAACGAAAGAUGAAACGAAAAAAGCCGUGUUCGAAACUUACUUUUGAAUGAUUGAAGAAUGGCUUCUUUAAAGAAGAAAGAAUAGUUCUUUAUUAUUUCGUUUCUUUUUUGUUUUUUUUUGUUUUUGUUUUUGUUUUUUUUGUUUUUUUUUUUUUUUUUUUUUUUUUUUUUUUUUUUUUUUUUUUUUU